GAGAGUUGACAAUAAAUUGGAGCACGGAUAAGGUAUGCUUCCACCUCUGUGAUUAUGAUAUAAUUGUGUGAUAAUUAUAUUUCUCUAUUAAUCAUUUCAUAAUUGGUAUAGAUCUUGAUAGUUUGAGGGAUUAGUAUGUAACUCUCAGCAAAGCAAGCUCUUAAGUAUCUUAAAUUAAUGACUAUCGUUGAUAAUCUAACUAUGAGUUCAAGUGUCGUAUUGAGUACGAAAAAGAAAAUAAAACACUAUAUAGAGAUGGAGAUCCAUUAGUCGAAAUAUUUUAGAUAGAAAGUGAUGUUAAUCCGUUACGUGAUUAGAUUCAGAUUUCAUUAGUGUUAUUUUUGGUGUUUGUUGGAAUGUGAUCUUCCCACCUUUUUGGGGUUGGUUUCAUCACUUUUCCAGCCAGUGAAGCCAACCAAUUCCUUUCUACUAACUACCAUAAUAAAUGAGUGGAAAGAAAGGAAAAGGAAGAGGCUUUUGUAUUGGAUGGCUGGGAAUAGAGGCCAUAAGCAUGUUCAAGCAACUAUUUGUGCUUGAGCUUUAGAUAAACUAUAUGAUCUACCACUGUUGGAAGAAACAUCAUCAACUCAAUUCAACUCAAAUCCAAAAACAUGACGCAGUCUGCACCAGCACAGCAGAAGAUAUACUAUGAUCACGCUCAGACGGGUCGUGAGGAGAAGGAAAGCUUCUAUGCUUUUUUGUAUACAAUCUGUUGCUGCUUUUGCUGUUAUGAGAGUUGUAGGUGCUGCUCAGAACGCACCUGCUGUUGCUGUCCCUAGAUUGUCUAAUUUCCAAGAGACGAUUGUCAAGUUUAUGUUUCAUCAUUACUUUGUUGUAUGAAAUGAUGAUUCUGGAAGCCAAUAAGGAGUGAUCUUCUGUAUAAUUGUGCACUUCAAUUGUUUUUUGUUUUUAUGAUAUCGCUUUCAAGAAUAAAAUGAUUGUUACAUAAAUCAAUUGCAGCAGCGCAUAGUGUAAAACUAUUGAAGUCA